UAAUUUCUUUUCUUUCCUCUCCUAAGUUCCCAAACAUAGUGCUAGGUUCUAGCUCUGUCUGUGUUGCUUGUCUGUAAUGGCAGUGUGAGACAUUGAUGUUACUUCCAACAUUUCAAUCUCUCUCGUUGGAGACUUCGACCUGGUUGCGGCGGCAACCACAAUCCACGUGAAUUUUAAAGAACCAAAAGGAGACGCAGAGAGAGUGUGUUUGGAUUAUGGAUUCUGGGUCCCUGUUCUUUCAAUUAUCCAACGUUUGCUUGCUUUUCAUGCACACUGAAUGUACAUUGAGCCUACCUUUUGGUCAUUAUUCAACCAGGGAAUUCUCUGAAAUGAGGCUCAGCUAUCCUUUCGGGGCUCUCUGUUUAUUGGUUUUGACAUGCUCUUUAGUUGCUAAAAUAAUUACCUAUUAAAUCAAUUUAUUUAUUUAUUUUUUUGUGCAGAUUGCUUGCUUAUUCCAUCCUAAGUACAAGCACUCCAAGUCCAAAUCAUAUCACAAAAUUGAAAAUCUAUUGCAAUACAUUAUGGAUCUUGAUCAGUUUCUGGCUUCCUUAGUCAAGAUAAUGUGAAAGUCGGCAGUCUUGUGGUCAAAGAUCAAGUGUACAUGGAGGCUACAAGAGAAGGAUCUCUUUCAUUUGUAGUGGCAAAGUUUGAUGGACUACUUGGGUUCAGCUUCCAGGAAAUUUCAGUUGGGGUUGUGGUGCCACUCUGAGUGCUCUGGAUGAGGGAAGUCAUCGGCGGGCAGCACUUGAAGCAUCUCUCCGUGAGGUUUUAUUUCAGAUAAUAAAAUUUGUGAAUGAGAAAAAAGAUCACGUUCCACCCAUACCGAAUCUUGAAGGUGUCUCCUUUCCCUAUGAAAUUACUGUCUCAAGGAUGAAAAUCGGGCAGCUUGGAUUUAGCCCACAUACAUAGCAUUCAACUUUUCUAGGAACCUAAGAAGAAGAUUUAAGAUGCAAGCUUGGAUUUGAGAAACAUAUAUCUCCAUGAUAACAAAUUGGAACUUGACCGGUACCUUGUAUAGUGGUGAACACCAACAUUGUAAAUUUUGACUUUACUAGCAUUUUAUCUGGAUUGUAUAUUUUUCAUAAAAGAACUUUUCUCAAGUUUUUAGUUGUAAUAACUUGAACAUAUGACUCCAAUUUUGAGACUCAAAUGGAAGUUAAUAAUAGGAUAGAUAGUAUAUAUAUAUUGAUUGAUA